GGGUAAUUGGCGGUUUGUGUAGUGGGCCCUUUGUUCUCUGGGUGGCUGCCAUUCGGGAGACGAACACGUGGCGGCGGCCAUUUUAAACUCCCCAACAGCGGUGUUUUGCCGUCGAGUGUCUGGAACCCAAAUCAGACACUCGCUCAGGCAAACACCGCUGAGACCUCCACACUGCCGCCAAUUCGUAUACAAACUACCGAACGGCUU